AGAUUUUCGAAUCCGUGCUAAGAUUUUGUCAGUGACCGAUACAGUUAGGCUGAUAAGACUUACAAGAUAAGUGAAGUU
rnacentral:pre_miRNA from 1 species